rnacentral:rRNA from 1 species
UUGAAGAGUUUGAUCAUGGCUCAGAUUGAACGCUGGCGGCAGGCCUAACACAUGCAAGUCGAGCGGUAGCACAGAGAGCUUGCUCUCGGGUGACGAGCGGCGGACGGGUGAGUAAUGUCUGGGAAACUGCCUGAUGGAGGGGGAUAACUACUGGAAACGGUAGCUAAUACCGCAUAACGUCGCAAGACCAAAGUGGGGGACCUUCGGGCCUCAUGCCAUCAGAUGUGCCCAGAUGGGAUUAGCUAGUAGGUGGGGUAACGGCUCACCUAGGCGACGAUCCCUAGCUGGUCUGAGAGGAUGACCAGCCACACUGGAACUGAGACACGGUCCAGACUCCUACGGGAGGCAGCAGUGGGGAAUAUUGCACAAUGGGCGCAAGCCUGAUGCAGCCAUGCCGCGUGUGUGAAGAAGGCCUUCGGGUUGUAAAGCACUUUCAGCGGGGAGGAAGGCGUUAAGGUUAAUAACCUUGGCGAUUGACGUUACCCGCAGAAGAAGCACCGGCUAACUCCGUGCCAGCAGCCGCGGUAAUACGGAGGGUGCAAGCGUUAAUCGGAAUUACUGGGCGUAAAGCGCACGCAGGCGGUCUGUCAAGUCGGAUGUGAAAUCCCCGGGCUCAACCUGGGAACUGCAUUCGAAACUGGCAGGCUAGAGUCUUGUAGAGGGGGGUAGAAUUCCAGGUGUAGCGGUGAAAUGCGUAGAGAUCUGGAGGAAUACCGGUGGCGAAGGCGGCCCCCUGGACAAAGACUGACGCUCAGGUGCGAAAGCGUGGGGAGCAAACAGGAUUAGAUACCCUGGUAGUCCACGCCGUAAACGAUGUCGAUUUGGAGGUUGUGCCCUUGAGGCGUGGCUUCCGGAGCUAACGCGUUAAAUCGACCGCCUGGGGAGUACGGCCGCAAGGUUAAAACUCAAAUGAAUUGACGGGGGCCCGCACAAGCGGUGGAGCAUGUGGUUUAAUUCGAUGCAACGCGAAGAACCUUACCUGGUCUUGACAUCCACAGAACUUUCCAGAGAUGGAUUGGUGCCUUCGGGAACUGUGAGACAGGUGCUGCAUGGCUGUCGUCAGCUCGUGUUGUGAAAUGUUGGGUUAAGUCCCGCAACGAGCGCAACCCUUAUCCUUUGUUGCCAGCGGUUCGGCCGGGAACUCAAAGGAGACUGCCAGUGAUAAACUGGAGGAAGGUGGGGAUGACGUCAAGUCAUCAUACGACCAGGGCUACACACGUGCUACAAUGGCAUAUACAAAGAGAAGCGACCUCGCGAGAGCAAGCGGACCUCAUAAAGUAUGUCGUAGUCCGGAUUGAGUCUGCAACUCGACUCCAUGAAGUCGGAAUCGCUAGUAAUCGUAGAUCAGAAUGCUACGGUGAAUACGUUCCCGGGCCUUGUACACACCGCCCGUCACACCAUGGGAGUGGGUUGCAAAGAAGUAGGUAGCUUAACCUUCGGGAGGGCGCUUACCACUUUGUGAUUCAUGACUGGGGUGAAGUCGUAACAAGGUAACCGUAGGGGAACCUGCGGUUGGAUCACCUCCUU